rnacentral:rRNA from 1 species
UUAAGCGACUAAGCGUACACGGUGGAUGCCCUGGCAGUCAGAGGCGAUGAAGGACGUGCUAAUCUGCGAUAAGCGUCGGUAAGGUGAUAUGAACCGUUAUAACCGGCGAUUUCCGAAUGGGGAAACCCAGUGUGAUUCGUCACACUAUCAUUAACUGAAUCCAUAGGUUAAUGAGGCGAACCGGGGGAACUGAAACAUCUAAGUACCCCGAGGAAAAGAAAUCAACCGAGAUUCCCCCAGUAGCGGCGAGCGAACGGGGAGCAGCCCAGAGCCUGAAUCAGUGUGUGUGUUAGUGGAAGCGUCUGGAAAGGCGCGCGAUACAGGGUGACAGCCCCGUACACAAAAAUGCACAUACUGUGAGCUCGAUGAGUAGGGCGGGACACGUGGUAUCCUGUCUGAAUAUGGGGGGACCAUCCUCCAAGGCUAAAUACUCCUGACUGACCGAUAGUGAACCAGUACCGUGAGGGAAAGGCGAAAAGAACCCCGGCGAGGGGAGUGAAAAAGAACCUGAAACCGUGUACGUACAAGCAGUGGGAGCACAGAGCAAUCUGUGUGACUGCGUACCUUUUGUAUAAUGGGUCAGCGACUUAUAUUCUGUAGCAAGGUUAACCGAAUAGGGGAGCCGAAGGGAAACCGAGUCUUAACUGGGCGUUAAGUUGCAGGGUAUAGACCCGAAACCCGGUGAUCUAGCCAUGGGCAGGUUGAAGGUUGGGUAACACUAACUGGAGGACCGAACCGACUAAUGUUGAAAAAUUAGCGGAUGACUUGUGGCUGGGGGUGAAAGGCCAAUCAAACCGGGAGAUAGCUGGUUCUCCCCGAAAGCUAUUUAGGUAGCGCCUCGUGAAUUCAUCUCCGGGGGUAGAGCACUGUUUCGGCAAGGGGGUCAUCCCGACUUACCAACCCGAUGCAAACUGCGAAUACCGGAGAAUGUUAUCACGGGAGACACACGGCGGGUGCUAACGUCCGUCGUGAAGAGGGAAACAACCCAGACCGCCAGCUAAGGUCCCAAAGUCAUGGUUAAGUGGGAAACGAUGUGGGAAGGCCCAGACAGCCAGGAUGUUGGCUUAGAAGCAGCCAUCAUUUAAAGAAAGCGUAAUAGCUCACUGGUCGAGUCGGCCUGCGCGGAAGAUGUAACGGGGCUAAACCAUGCACCGAAGCUGCGGCAGCGACGCUGAUGCGUUGUUGGGUAGGGGAGCGUUCUGUAAGCCUGCGAAGGUGUGCUGUGAGGCAUGCUGGAGGUAUCAGAAGUGCGAAUGCUGACAUAAGUAACGAUAAAGCGGGUGAAAAGCCCGCUCGCCGGAAGACCAAGGGUUCCUGUCCAACGUUAAUCGGGGCAGGGUGAGUCGACCCCUAAGGCGAGGCCGAAAGGCGUAGUCGAUGGGAAACAGGUUAAUAUUCCUGUACUUGGUGUUACUGCGAAGGGGGGACGGAGAAGGCUAUGUUGGCCGGGCGACGGUUGUCCCGGUUUAAGCGUGUAGGCUGGUUUUCCAGGCCAAAUCCGGAAAAUCAAGGCUGAGGCGUGAUGACGAGGCACUACGGUGCUGAAGCAACAAAUGCCCUGCUUCCAGGAAAAGCCUCUAAGCAUCAGGUAACAUCAAAUCGUACCCCAAACCGACACAGGUGGUCAGGUAGAGAAUACCAAGGCGCUUGAGAGAACUCGGGUGAAGGAACUAGGCAAAAUGGUGCCGUAACUUCGGGAGAAGGCACGCUGAUAUGUAGGUGAAGUCCCUCGCGGAUGGAGCUGAAAUCAGUCGAAGAUACCAGCUGGCUGCAACUGUUUAUUAAAAACACAGCACUGUGCAAACACGAAAGUGGACGUAUACGGUGUGACGCCUGCCCGGUGCCGGAAGGUUAAUUGAUGGGGUCAGCGCAAGCGAAGCUCUUGAUCGAAGCCCCGGUAAACGGCGGCCGUAACUAUAACGGUCCUAAGGUAGCGAAAUUUCCUUGUCGGGUAAGUUCCGACCUGCACGAAUGGCGUAAUGAUGGCCAGGCUGUCUCCACCCGAGACUCAGUGAAAUUGAACUCGCUGUGAAGAUGCAGUGUACCCGCGGCAAGACGGAAAGACCCCGUGAACCUUUACUAUAGCUUGACACUGAACAUUGAGCCUUGAUGUGUAGGAUAGGUGGGAGGCUUUGAAGUGUGGACGCCAGUCUGCAUGGAGCCGACCUUGAAAUACCACCCUUUAAUGUUUGAUGUUCUAACGUUGACCCGUGAUCCGGGUUGCGGACAGUGUCUGGUGGGUAGUUUGACUGGGGCGGUCUCCUCCUAAAGAGUAACGGAGGAGCACGAAGGUUGGCUAAUCCUGGUCGGACAUCAGGAGGUUAGUGCAAUGGCAUAAGCCAGCUUGACUGCGAGCGUGACGGCGCGAGCAGGUGCGAAAGCAGGUCAUAGUGAUCCGGUGGUUCUGAAUGGAAGGGCCAUCGCUCAACGGAUAAAAGGUACUCCGGGGAUAACAGGCUGAUACCGCCCAAGAGUUCAUAUCGACGGCGGUGUUUGGCACCUCGAUGUCGGCUCAUCACAUCCUGGGGCUGAAGUAGGUCCCAAGGGUAUGGCUGUUCGCCAUUUAAAGUGGUACGCGAGCUGGGUUUAGAACGUCGUGAGACAGUUCGGUCCCUAUCUGCCGUGGGCGCUGGAGAACUGAGGGGGGCUGCUCCUAGUACGAGAGGACCGGAGUGGACGCAUCACUGGUGUUCGGGUU